rnacentral:lncRNA from 1 species
AAAAAUGGGAUUUUACUUUAUGUUCAGGACCCUCCUGAAAAAUGGGAUUUUACUUUAUGUUCAGGACCCUCCUGAAAAAUGGGAUUUUACUUUCUGCUCAGGACCCUCCUGAAAAAUAGGAAUUUACUUUCAAUUCAGGACCCUCCUAAAAAAUGGGAUUUUACUUUCUGUUCAGGACCCUCCUGAAAAAUGGGAUUUUACUUUCUG